UACGAAGGGGGCUAGCGUUGCUCGGAAUCACUGGGCGUAAAGCGCACGUAGGCGGCUUUCUAAGUCAGGGGUGAAAUCCUGGAGCUCAACUCCAGAACUGCCUUUGAUUCUGGAGAGCUUGAGUCCGGGAGAGGUGAGUGGAACUCCGGGUGGAGCGGUGAAAUGCGUAGAGAUCCGGAGGAACACCGACGGCGCAGGCAGCGUCCUGGCCGCUUGCUGACACUGAGGCACGAAAGCUGGGGGAGCAAACAGG
rnacentral:rRNA from 1 species